AGAAGGCAUGGCGGCGAGGCGGUAGGUGUAUGGCUAGGCUGCUACGCCUUGAACCCUUGUCUCUAGUCUUGCUCUUAGCCAGAGCAGGAAGUCAGUCUCUAACAUCUCUUCGGAAGUCGCAUCUGAGGGGACCUAGGGCGUGCUCGAGUCCUGGGCUGAAGGAUUUGCAUAAGCUGCGGGUUCCUCAGGGCUCCCUCUGCAGCCCCGAAUUCGUGCGGUGUGGGAUGAUCGCAAUGCCUGGGUGCAGCCGGCGCUUCUCUCUAGAUCGUUAAUUCUAGGCUUCCGAGCCCCGCCCCGGUCUGUCCUUCUGUCUGCGCGCCUUUUCUACACAGGGCGGAGCGCAGAACCGCUGGCCCCCGUCGGAGAAGAGUUGGGAACGAGGAAAGAAGCUUCGAGAAGAUGAGGGGGAAAGGGACUACCCCGGGAGUUGGUCUUUUAAGGAUGUCCUAGUCCGGUUCACCACAGAGCGUUCGAAGAAUGGGUGAAUAUAACAAUUUAUUGUAAAUGCAACAAAAAACAACAAGGACAUGGACCCAAGAAACUCAGAUCUACAAGACCCUGUUGACAAGUGAAGCGUGAGAGGUUUGAAACAGUACUGAAAUACUGAUCCAGUUUUCUUUUUUGUUGUGUUUGAGACCGGGUCCCUCAAUGUAGUUCUGGUUGUUCAGGAACUCGCCUUGUAGACCAGGCUUGCUUCAAACGCACGUUAAGUCUUUCUGCCUGUCUCUUAAAAAAAAUGCUGAAAUGAUGAAAGGUUUGAGCCAUCAUGCCCAGCUGCGUUCUUUUAACCCAUUACUAGUUGAAUUACGUUUUCCAAAACAUUGGGAACUUGAACCAAAUUUGUAUUUAUUUCCUGGCAAAGUUGUAUUUGAUUAAUUAACCAGAUUCACACUUUUAGCCCAGAUAUGUGAUCCGUACAUCAAGCUUGGCUUCAAUUCGCAAUCCCUAAGCAAGAAUACUUCAUUUCACUCUAACACAUUUGUCCGAAUACAAAUUUAGGGUUCAAUAGUCUUUCUCAUUUCCACGAGUCACUCCAACACAUCUCACCACAGAAAUUUAUCAAAUACUUCAUUGUUUCCACGGGUACCCCAAUCCUAUCCAUCAUCCCUCAGGCAGCUUAAGUGGUGUCCCAUUAUGUAUACAAUCCAUUGUCUGCCUAGUGGUUAGUGGUCUCUUUGUAAAUCCCUCUAAAUUGUGUGUGAAAGAUUUAUUUAUUUAUUUAUUUAUUUAAUAUAAGUACACUGUAGGUGUCUUCAGACACUCCAGAAGAGGGCAUCAGAACCCAUUAUAGAUGGUUGUGAGCCACCAUGUGGUUGCUGGGAAUUGAACUCAGGACCUCUGGAAGAUCUAAAUUGUUUUUAAAGACUUUUAAUGUGUGAAUAUGGGGUAAGAGGAUAACCUUGUGUAGUCUUUUCAUCUUUUUACCUGGCUUUGAAUAUCAAACUAGAGUUGUCAGUGCACAGCAAGCACUUUUGGCUACUGAGCCAUCUCAGGGGCUCUCUUUUUAUAUUUUCUCCAUGUAUUUGAAAUAAAACCCAAGCCCCUGGCCUCAUGUCCUUCCACUUUGCCCUUAUUUCUACUCAUUCCAAGCACAUUUUUUUUUUCUUUUUGGCUUUUUGAGACAGGUUUUUCUGAAUAGCCCUGGCUGACCUGGUAGACCAGACUGGCCUCAAACUCAGAAAUUCACCUGCCUCUGCCUCCCAAGUGCUGGGAUUAAAGGCACCAAGCACAUUUCUAAUCCUAUACAUAGUAACAUGUCUACCUGGAAAAAAAUAUACUUUUAAAGAUGUGUGUCUGUGUGUCUUGUCUGUCUUGGCAUCACAGUACCUGCAGUGCCCAUGGAGGCCAGUAGAGGGUAUCAGGUAUUUUGGAACUGGAGUUAACAGAAAAUUCUUAGUUGCUACAUGGAUGUUUGAAACUGAAACCAAGUCCUCUGCAAGACCAGUAAGCGCUCUUAACCCCUUAGCCUUCUCUUCUAACCCCCCCCUUUUUUAAUUACUUGUUUAUACAGCUGUGCAAGCUGAGUGCAGUGCCCAGAGGCCAGAAGACGAUAUUGGGUAAGAACUAGAGUAAUAAGCACUUGUACUUUGUACUGGGAACCAAACUCUAGUCUUCUACAACAGAAAGCCAUUGUAGCACUAAGCCAUCUCUAGCCCACUACCUGCAAUAGUUUGAACUCUAGUACCGGCAAACAGCUUGGCACUCAGGCAAAACUCAGUUAUUUCAAAGGAUAAGCUUACAUAAGCCAUCUCUCUCUCUGAAGAUUUUGGGAGCCAGAGGCUUUUUAUUUAAUGUAUGAAUGCUCUGCUGCAUAUAUAUCUGCCCACUGGAAGAAGGUCAUCAGAUCCUCUAGUAGAUGGUUGUGAGCCACCAUGUGGUUGCUGGGAAUUGAACUCAGGACCUCUGGAAGAGUCGCUAGUGCCCUUAGCUGCUUAGCCAUCUCAACAGCCCCUUAAUUGUCCUUUCAAGGUCUUUAUACUGUUUUGUUUUGUUUUUUUUCCAAAUUAUUAGAAUGGUUAGAGAGCCAGUCUUGUGCUCAUAAUCCAGAAUAAAGGUAUGGUGUUAAUUUGCACUUCUGAAUGUGGCUAAGUGAACUUUCACAGACCAAGAACCAUGCCUACAGAAUUCACAUCUCAGGAAAUGAUAGGCUGUAGCAGAUUAUCUAGACCUUCAAAGAAUCACAUUCAAAUUCAGGAUAAAUUUUACAAACUCCUCGGUAAGAUGCAAUAAUUAUUAAAGUUUAAAACCAAAAUACUGAAUCAAGAAGGAAGGAAAUGACAGCCGAGUUCCUUUAUUUCAGAAAUAUUUUAAUUGUAGUAUAGUUAUGAAGUCACAUUCAAUUCAAUGAAUAUAUUCCAAGUAUUAAUAAAAAUAUUAUACAUCUUAACUCACUAUGCUGAUAUAAUUAAAGCAUUUUCUUCUUACAGGUGACACUAGUAAUCAUAUCUAUAUUUGCAUUGCUAGUGAACAGCAUGUAAGUAAAUGUGUAUCAUAAUAGCAGGUCUUCAGUGUUUUUUUUUUAAAUCUGAGUUAUCAAAAGUGAAUUUUUUUAAAUGUUACAAUUCAUGAGUCUUAGAAAGAAUUAAACAAUUUAAGGCAAGAUUUUGAACUUUAUAUACAACUUUAAUUUGAAAAAAAAGUACUUAAAAAAGAUACACAUGCUUUAACAACUCAUUCCCAUAAACACAGUAAUAAAAAGCAUUGGUGCCAAUCUCAUUGGAUUCCUCAGAGAAAACAGGUUCUUGGGAUGAACGAUCAUCUUCAGAUCCUAGAGCACUGGCAAGAACAAAGAAUUCUGGCACAGGACUUGUAUGUAGCAGACUUAUUUUUACUUGAAGGUAGUUAUAAAUACGAUAUACAUAAACAUUAGUGUCUUGGCCUGUCUAGCGUUCUCUUUUUCAGAUGUAUUUUAAGGUGACUGUUAGGAAGCUCUAGAAGCCAGCUGACUAUGGUGACUGCAGCUGCAGUGCACAGAGGCUACGUUCUCCUCCCUAUCACUGUUUUUUUGGUAUGGGCUGAAGAUUAGCAUUUUACAAAGAAAUAACUUACAUUAAAAUAUAUGUAUUCUAAUGACCAAAGAAGGCACAAAUUGAGUAAAAUUAAGAGACAGUAUCACCUUUUGAAUUCUUGUUAACUAUACAGUAUUAUAAUAUAUACUUUUAGAUAUUAAUCAGAUUUCUUGUCACUGAAGUGACAUUUUAAAUUCUGUUUCUGCUAAGAUACACGGUAACAGAUCACAAAAAGGUCCACGAGUCCAGUCAAUGACGACCUUUUACAAACAGCAUGUUUUUAAGUAGCUAGGUGACCCAUGGAAUGGAAUUAGGUUUCUC
rnacentral:lncRNA from 1 species